rnacentral:lncRNA from 1 species
GAGGUUUAUUUUUCUAGUAGUGUGAAUUGAUUGAAUUUGACUUGGUUGUAAUUAUUUUUGUUUUAUUUUUCUUUAAUUGCGUUUUGUUUUAUUUUUCUAUAAAAGUGCUUUUAGGGUGUGUUUCUUUUGUAUGCAGGAAACAAUACAUACUAAAAGCAGGAAAAACUAGCAACCUUUGUUAGAAGGUCUACUAGAUGAGAGGAGAAAGAGACGUCCUUCACGUGAGAGAUCUCUUUCUCCAGAAGUUACUUCGCAUUCUUCACUUGAGACUUUUGCACCAGAUCUUGAGG